rnacentral:lncRNA from 1 species
GAAGAGGAGAAAAUUACAAAAAAAAAGUUUUUAUUCGAUUAUCCAUGAUUGAGAAAGGGUGGUACGUAAAGCAAGAAGUGGCCGGAAGAAGCCAAUUACGGCGGCGGUUGCGGGCGGCGGACAUACAUACAUAUAUAUAUGCAUGGUAGAUAGAUCAGCUGGCUCAGGCAAGCGUAUAUAUCGAUCGAUCGUGCUCCGGUUCACGGCUUCUGCAGACGAGGAUCAGGAUGGUUUCCGAUACGAGGGGGCUGAAAUGGCAUUUUGGAUGGCGGCUUUGGAGGAUCGGGCCCUUUCACGGCAGACAGGCAUUUUAUUUCUCCUUCCCGAACGUUGCAGUUGUUGGAAUGUGGGGGCCGAGCAACUAGGGAGCGAGAAAAGACGGGAAGCAGAUGAAGCAAAUUCAAAUGAAUGGUGGUGAGAUCGAACCUCCGUCCGCACACGGUUGAAUUCAAUAUCUUUGAACCUCUCAAAAGUUUCACAUUACUCCUUUUUCAAUUUUUCUACAUAAAUAUAUAUGAUGUGUGAAUUUUCAAUUUGACAAUUAGAUUCCGUAAAUUUUACCAAAUAAUUUAAUAGGUAUUUUUUUAAAAUUGAGAUUGCUAAAUAUAUAGUUAUUUUGAUCGUAUAUCUUACUCUAAUCUUGUAAAAUAAAACCAGAUGCCUAAAUACUAACUUUGGAAAACAGAAAAAAAAAAAAAAUUUGUUAGUUUUGAAGUCUUACAAGAUUUUGUACAUAGCAUAUGGUUAAAACUUUUUUAUAAUUACUAACUUUGGUUGACAAGCGACGCCCAUUAGUAGUUUCAAAUUUUUAUCAAAAUUUUACUUUCCAUUCGAUCCUUUUCAAAAAAAAAAAAAAAAAAAAAAAAAAAAAAAAAAAAAAAAAAAUCUUCUGUAAUAUAAUGUUAAAUUUAACUGAUGAAACAAAUAUCUGCACGUCGGAUUAACCUUUUUCUAAAUUAUGUAUGCAUUAACGACAUGAAGUAGGAAUUACCAUUUAGCAAAACAAGUAUUUAAAAUUGUUGGAACAAAGCUUAUUUUUAACUUACUAACUAUUAGUUUCUUGCUAAACAUAAACAUUGAUUUAAUAUCUGUGCUUAUCUUUUUAUUAAUAAAACGAUAAAGCCUUAGAAAGCAAUCUGCUUUAUGACAUCAAAUGAUGAACUAAUUAAACUUACUAACCUCCUCUGGGGGCAUAGACGGGCGAAAGGCCCGAAAGAAAAAGGCAGAGAACGAUAGCGAUACGAACGACGGCAAACAACAUACUUCUCCGACGACGGUCCGUCAGCUUCAUAGCAAUAUUCUUCAGUAUCUUUAUUUCUUGUGCUGUUGAUUUGAU